GCUUGCUUCCGCCGACGACCGGCGCACGGGUGCGUAACGCGUAUACAAUCUACCUUAUACUGGGGUAUAGCCUUUAGAAAUGAAGAUUAACCCCCCAUAGUCUCUUAGAGUGGCAUCACUUCUAGAGUAAAGGUUACGGUAUAAGAUGAGUAUGCGUUCUAUUAGUUUGUUGGUGUGGUAACGGCACACCAAGACUACGAUAGAUAGGGGCCCUGAGAGGGGGAUCCCCCACACUGGUACUGAGACACGGACCAGACUCCUACGGGAGGCAGCAGUGAGGAAUAUUGGACAAUGGAGGCAACUCUGAUCCAGCCAUGCCGCGUGCAGGAAGACUGCCCUAUGGGUUGUAAACUGCUUUUAUACAGGAAGAAACACCUCUACGUGUAGAGGCUUGACGGUACUGUAAGAAUAAGGAUCGGCUAACUCCGUGCCAGCAGCCGCGGUAAUACGGAGGAUCCAAGCGUUAUCCGGAAUCAUUGGGUUUAAAGGGUCCGUA
rnacentral:rRNA from 1 species